rnacentral:rRNA from 1 species
CAGUCGCCGCGGUAAUACGAAGGGUGCAAGCGUUAAUCGGAAUUACUGGGCGUAAAGCGUGCGCAGGCGGUUCGUUUAGACAGAUGUGAAAUCCCCGGGCUCAACCUGGGAAUGGCAGUGGAUACUGGCUCGCUAGAGUGUGUCAGAGGAUGGUGGAAUUCCCGGUGUAGCGGUGAAAUGCGUAGAGAUCGGGAGGAACAUCAGUGGCGAAGGCGGCCAUCUGGGACAACACUGAUGCUGAGGCACGAAAGCGUGGGGAGCAAACAGGAUUAGAUACCCCCGUAGUCCCUGUCUCUUAUAC